CCCUGACUAAAGAAGCCACGAGAAACGCCAGCAGCGCGAGGCCCACUGCGACCCUCAGGGCGCAGUCCUCAUGCAGCCUUGGUGUCUUCUGCGCCGUUCUGGAACUUGCUGCGCUGCGGGAUGUGGAACUGUGGUACACCAGGCAUGGAAAAAGCUCUGAAAUGAUUUUGGAGACGGUGUGAGUAGCUGGGACCGAGACCAAGGAAGAGCAGUGCAAUUUCCACAGGCUAAUAUUUACACAUGAUGGAUGAGGAAGGAGCCUGGCUUUGACUGUAGGAGACUAAUUGCAAAAUUAAUAAAGCUGCUGGCCUCUAGGAUAAAUCUUGCAACCCUGAUUAAAGUCAAACCAUCAUUUACAUCCCUGCUCCCAGGUAGCUGGGCCCCUACUCUGUGGGUUUCCUUGAACUCUGGGUCCUGCCCAGGCCGACACACAGCUGCACCGAACGGA